rnacentral:rRNA from 1 species
AUACGCAGGUGACAAGCGUUAUCCGGAUUUACUGGGCGUAAAGGGCGUGUAGGCGGUCUUGCAAGUCAGAAGUGAAAUUCCUGAGCUCAACUCGGGCGCUGCUUCUGAAACUGCAGGACUUGAGUGCUGGAGGGGAUAGCGGAAUUCCUAGUGGAGCGGUAAAAUGCGCAGAUAUUAGGAAGAACACCGGUGGCGAAGGCGGCUAUCUGGACAGUAACUGACGCUGAGGCGCGAAAGCGUGGGGAGCAAACAGGAUUAGAUACCCGGGUAGUCCACGCCGUAAACGAUGAAUACUAGGUGUAGGGGCUAUCGACUCCCUCUGUGCCGCAGUUAACACAAUAAGUAUUCCGCCUGGGGAGUACGGCCGCAAGGUUGAAACUCAAAGGAAUUGACGGGG